rnacentral:rRNA from 1 species
UACAGAGGUCUCAAGCGUUGUUCGGAUUCAUUGGGCGUAAAGGGUGCGUAGGCGGAUUGUUAAGUCAGGGGGUGAAAUCCUGGAGCUCAACUCCAGAACUGCCUUUGAUACUGGCGAUCUCGAGUCCGGGAGAGGUGAGUGGAACUGCGAGUGUAGAGGUGAAAUUCGUAGAUAUUCGCAAGAACACCAGUGGCGAAGGCGGCUCACUGGCCCGGUACUGACGCUGAGGUGCGAAAGCGUGGGGAGCAAACAGG